rnacentral:rRNA from 1 species
GGAGGGUGCAAGCGUUAUCCGGAAUCACUGGGUUUAAAGGGUGCGUAGGCGGACUUGCGCGUCAGGGGUGAAAGGCCACCGCUUAACGGUGGAAUUGCCUUUGAUACGGCGAGUCUUGAAUUAGGUUGAGGUGAGCGGAAUGCGGCAUGUAGCGGUGAAAUGCAUAGAUAUGCCGUAGAACACCGAUUGCGUAGGCAGCUCACUGGCCCUAGAUUGACGCUGAGGCACGAAAGCGUGGGGAGCGAACAGGAUUAGAUACCCUGGUAGUCCACGCCCUAAACGAUGUUUACUCGAUAUUGGCUGCUUGGCAGUCAGUGUCCAAGGGAAACCGAUAAGUAAACCACCUGGGGAGUACGUUCGCAAGAAUG